rnacentral:rRNA from 1 species
CGUGUAGGCGGUGCGGUAAGUUGGGCGUGAAAUCCCCGAGCUUAACUCGGGUGGGCCGUUCAAGACUGCCGUGCUAGGGUGCGGGAGAAGGAAGUGGAAUUUCCGGUGUAGCGGUGAAAUGCGUAGAUAUCGGGAGGAACACCUGCGGCGAAGGCGGCUUCCUGGACCGUAACCGACGCUGAGGCGCGAAAGCUAGGGGAGCAAACAGGAUUAGAUACCCUGGUAGUCCUAGCCCUAAACGAUGAGCACUGGGUGUGGCCCCUCACGAGGCCGUGCCGAAGCUAACGCAUUAAGUGCUCCGCCUGGGGAGUACGGUCGCAAGGCUGAA